rnacentral:rRNA from 1 species
AGUUGAGUGUCGGAUAGUGGCGGACGGGUGAGUAACACGUGGGCAACCUGCCCUACAGCCUGGGAUACCAUCGGGAAACUGAUGUUAAUACCGGAUACGCUCUUUUGAUCGCAUGAUCUAAGGAGGAAAGAUUUAUCGCUGUAGGAUGGGCCCGCGGUCCAUUAGCUAGUUGGUAGGGUAACGGCCUACCAAGGCGACGAUGGAUAGCUGGUCUGAGAGGACGAUCAGCCACACUGGGACUGAGACACGGCCCAGACUCCUACGGGAGGCAGCAGUGGGGAAUAUUGCGCAAUGGGGGCAACCCUGACGCAGCAAUGCCGCGUGAAGGAUGAAGGCUUUCGGGUCGUAAACUUCUGUCUAGAGGGAUGAAUUUUGACAGUACCUCUGGAGGAAGCCCCGGCUAACUACGUGCCAGCAGCCGCGGUAAUACGUAGGGGGCAAGCGUUGUCCGGAAUCACUGGGCGUAAAGCGCGCGUAGGUGGUCUAGUAAGUCAGAUGUUAAAAUGCGGGGCUCAACCCCGUAAUGCAUUUGAAACUGCUGGACUUGAGGACAGGAGAGGAAAGUGGAAUUCCUAGUGUAGCGGUGAAAUGCGUAGAUAUUAGGAGGAACACCAGUGGCGAAGGCGACUUUCUGGACUGUACC